AAGGUGAAAGCAGAUGUGAGGGCAUCAGCUGGAGAUGCAGAGUGGGAAAGGCUGAAGCCAGGGUCCUGUGAAGAGGGCUGCAGUAGAGGCCGCAGUCCCCUGGCAGAGCUGUACACUGAGAGGAGCUAUUAGAAUUGUGGCUCCUGGGCCCAUCUUCAGAGAGUCCACUUGGUCAGGCUGAGGUGAUACCUAGAUACCUGGAUAGUUCAAGGACACUUUCUAUUUUUUCCUUAACAUUUUGGUUGUUUUGUUCUUUAAAGAUUAAAAAAAAUUUUUUUUUAAUGUUUAUUUUU